UAUGUUUUAUUUUUAUUUUCAUAGCUGUAAAAAUAUUAUGGACGAAACUUUGUAAUCAAGAGAAGUUUGAUGAAUGAGCCUUUAUAAAAUUUGGUAAAUCUCCAUCUUUUAUUUGAUUUCUUUGUUAGUUUCAUUUUAAUUUUUUUUUUUUAUGUUUCUCAUAAGGGUUUCAUGAUUUGAAACUCAUAUUUUUGUUUCUUUUCCAUUUUCUUCUCCAUAUCUAUAAAAGUUUGUGGAUGAGAUUUUGAAUCUAGAUCCAAUAACAAAUCAGAGAUAUCUAUGUUCAAGAAUGAUCAAAGGGAAUAUGAACUGAUCUAACAAGAAGAGGAUGCAGGUAUAUGUAUCUCUUUCCUUUUUAUUUAUUUUGUUUUAUAUCAAUUUUGUAUCUACAAGGAGAAUAAAUUAAUUUUUCAUGAUUUUUUUUAAGGGAACAACAGAUAAAUGCAGGUACCUCCCAUACUUUUUUAUAUUCACUUUUUAUAUUCUCAAUUAUUUUUCUAUUUUGGUUGUAAGAUUAUUGUUGAUUCUCUCAUUUGCUAAUAUAAUGUAUUAAAUAAAUUGAGGUAUAUUGAUUCUAUUCUGCUUUUGGUUAAGGUUGCUUAGUGCAUCUAAUUGAUUACUAAUUAAAUUCAUUCUAAUUUUUAAGAUAA